AGGUUUUUUUACCCCCCCCGGGCUAACUAGCAUUCAAUAAGCGGAGGAAAAGAAACCAACCGGGGAUUGCCCUAGUAACGGCGAGUGAAGCGGCAAGAGCUCAAAUUUGAAAGCUGGCUCCUUCGGGGUCCGCAUUGUAAUUUGCAGAGGAUGCUUCGGAAUCGGCCCCCCAUUUAAGUGCCCUGGAACGGGCCGUCAUAGAGGGUGAGAAUCCCGUUCUGGGAUGGGGUGUCCGUGCCCGUGUGAAGCUCCUUCGACGAGUCGAGUUGUUUGGGAAUGCAGCUCUAAUUGGGUGGUAAAUUUCAUCUAAAGCUAAAUAUUGGCCGGAGACCGAUAGCGCACAAGUAGAGUGAUCGAAAGAUGAAAAGCACUUUGAAAAGAGAGUUAAAAAGCACGUGAAAUUGUUGAAAGGGAAGCGCUUGCGACCAGACUCGCCCGCGGGGUUCAGCCGGCAUUCGUGCCGGUGUACUUCCCCGCGGGCGGGCCAGCGUCGGUUUGGGCGGCCGGUCAAAGGCCCCUGGAAUGUAACGCCUCUCGGGGCGUCUUAUAGCCAGGGGUGCCAUGCGGCCUGCCCGGACCGAGGAACGCGCUUCGGCUCGGACGCUGGCAUAAUGGUCGUAAGCGACCCGUCUUGAAACACGGACCAAGGAGUCUAACAUCUACGCGAGUGUUCGGGUGUCAAACCCGUGCGCGCAGUGAAAGCGAACGGAGGUGGGAACCCCCCGGGGUGCACCAUCGACCGAUCCUGAUGUCUUCGGAUGGAUUUGAGUAAGAGCGUAGCUGUUGGGACCCGAAAGAUGGUGAACUAUGCCUGAAUAGGGCGAAGCCAGAGGAAACUCUGGUGGAGGCUCGCAGCGGUUCUGACGUGCAAAUCGAUCGUCAAAUUUGGGUAUAGGGGCGAAAGACUAAUCGAACCCCUUU
rnacentral:rRNA from 1 species